CCUACGGGGGGCAGCAGUAGGGAAUCUUCGGCAAUGGGCGAAAGCCUGACCGAGCAACGCCGCGUGAGCGAUGAAGGCCUUCGGGUCGUAAAGCUCUGUUGUUAAGGAAGAACAAGUAUGAGAGUAACUGCUCGUACCUUGACGGUACUUAACGAGAAAGCCACGGCUAACUACGUGCCAGCAGCCGCGGUAAUACGUAGGUGGCGAGCGUUAUCCGGAAUUAUUGGGCGUAAAGCGCGCGCAGGCGGUUUCUUAAGUCUGAUGUGAAAGCCCACGGCUCAACCGUGGAGGGUCAUUGGAAACUGGGAAACUUGAGUGCAGAAGAGGAAAGCGGAAUUCCACGUGUAGCGGUGAAAUGCGUAGAGAUGUGGAGGAACACCAGUGGCGAAGGCGGCUUUCUGGUCUGUAACUGACGCUGAGGCGCGAAAGCGUGGGGAGC
rnacentral:rRNA from 1 species